rnacentral:rRNA from 1 species
GGCGAACGGGUGAGUAACACGUGGGUGAUCUGCCUUGCACUUCGGGAUAAGCCUGGGAAACUGGGUCUAAUACCGGAUAGGACCAUGCUUUAGUGUGUGUGGUGGAAAGUUUUUCGGUGCAAGAUGAGCCCGCGGCCUAUCAGCUUGUUGGUGAGGUAAUGGCUCACCAAGGCGACGACGGGUAGCCGGCCUGAGAGGGUGGACGGCCACAUUGGGACUGAGAUACGGCCCAG